AACGAGCGCUGGCGGCAGGCCUAACACAUGCCAGUCGAGCGCGCCUUCGGGUGAGCGGCGGACGGGUGAGUAACGCGUGGGAAUAUGCCCUUCUCUACGGAAUAGUCCUGGGAAACUGGGGGUAAUACCGUAUACGCCCUUUGGGGGAAAGAUUUAUCGGGGAAGGAUUAGCCCGCGUUGGAUUAGGUAGUUGGUGGGGUAAUGGCCUACCAAGCCGACGAUCCAUAGCUGGUUUGAGAGGAUGAUCAGCCACACUGGGACUGAGACACGGCCCAGACUCCUACGGGAGGCAGCAGUGGGGAAUCUUAGACAAUGGGGGCAACCCUGAUCUAGCCAUGCCGCGUGAGUGAUGAAGGCCUUAGGGUUGUAAAGCUCUUUCAGCUGGGAAGAUAAUGACGGUACCAGCAGAAGAAGCCCCGGCUAACUCCGUG
rnacentral:rRNA from 1 species